UACGUUUCAGAGAGAUUUAGAAUAUAACAGAUAACCAAUUUGAAGGCUGGAAAUGUAACUUAGUUGGUACCAUGCUUUCUCGGCUUGAAGGAAGUCCUGAGUUCCAUCCCCAACAUCACAUAAACCUGAGUAUGACGGUGCCUGCCUGUAAUCUUAGCGCUUGGGAUGUGGAGGGUGAAUGUGUACAGAAACCAUGUAGCUUCACAGACUCCCCUUGGAACUCUACACUCUCCCUGUGCCCACGCCCAGCGCCUUAGCUGAAGUGUCCAGCGGUGGAAGCCAGUGAAGUGUUAGAUUCGGACCGAGGAGCUGGAGGUUUGAAUAGGCUUUAUAUGGGCUGUAGUCCUAGAGAUGGCUCCGAGGCACACACACUUAUGUGUAUGUGUGUGUGUGUGUGUGUAUGAAUACUUUAUUAUUGGGCUAUACUUGCAGCCCAAGGGGAUAUAUGUCUUGACAUGGAAGUCUCACAGAGAUAGAAGGGUGGACCUAGUUUGAAUGGACGCUACUAGGAACUGAGCCUGGGUUAUCUCAUCCCCAAGGAUACUCCAGAUUCUCAGUUGAACAAUGUCACCUGAUCUAGCCAGUAAACUAGCAGAGGCUAGCUCAGAAGGAUCACCUUCUCUAUACUGAGAGACUGAACUAUCCCAGGGACAGAGCCAAAGGCCAAGGAAAUCAAAUGCCCUGCCUCAUAAGAAGCUCUGGAUAAUGGGGAAGACCGACAGCAGAGACAAUCCAUCCUAACUGAGCACAUGGCAGCAGAGUUUCCUCGCAGAAUCCUCUUUCUAAAGAACAGUUCUUCAGUAUAGGAACAAGCAAUACGUCCUGUUUAUUCUGUCAACCGUGAUGGACUUUGCUCUUGCUUUCCCCUUUGGCCUGGUGGGAAAAGCUGCUGGGGAAUUUGGGUGCACAAGUCUUUUCCUUUUGCAAGUGAAAAAACAUACAAUUAUGUUUCCAUAGACCCCUGAAGAGGCAAAAUAGGAAGCUGUGAGAAGAGUGUUGGGAGAGGAUUCCCCACGGGAAGCAACACAGAGGAUGAGAAAUGAGCUAGGUUAAAUGUAGGAAGAUGUGUUUCAGCCCCACGGGACUGACAGCCUUGUGGCUGGCUCUAGGAACCCUGGGUAAUUUCAGGAAUGGGAAUGGGCUGGUAUGACUAAGGCAUAGAGAGGAAGGAAGGAAGAGAAGGACACAGGUGGGCUUGCAGGGUGAGCUGCACGCCUACCGAUGGCUUCUGGUAGACUGGUGACAAAUGGGCUUUCCCCUAAGAGUUAUGGUAAGCAAUUAAAGAGUUCUAGGAAGAAAAGCAAAUACCCAAAUAUAGAGAAUAUAGAGGUGUGUGUGUGUGUGUGUGUGUGU
rnacentral:lncRNA from 1 species